CGGACGGGUUAGUAACGCGUGGGAACAUACCCAAUGGUACGGAAUAGCCUCGGGAAACUGAGAGUAAUACCGUAUGUGCCCUUCGGGGGAAAGAUUUAUCGCCAUUGGAUUGGCCCGCGUUAGAUUAGAUAGUUGGUGGGGUAAUGGCCUACCAAGUCUACGAUCUAUAGCUGGUUUUAGAGGAUGAUCAGCAACACUGGGACUGAGACACGGCCCAGACUCCUACGGGAGGCAGCAGUGGGGAAUCUUAGACAAUGGGCGCAAGCCUGAUCUAGCCAUGCCGCGUGUGUGAUGAAGGCCUUAGGGUCGUAAAGCACUUUCGCCAGAGAUGAUAAUGACAGUAUCUGGUAAAGAAACCCCGGCUAACUCCGUGCCAGCAGCCGCGGUAAUACGGAGGGGGUUAGCGUUGUUCGGAAUUACUGGGCGUAAAGCGUACGUAGGCGGAUCAGAAAGUAUGGGGUGAAAUCCCAGGGCUCAACCCUGGAACUGCCUCAUAAACUCCUGGUCUUGAGUUCGAGAGAGGUGAGUGGAAUUCCAAGU
rnacentral:rRNA from 1 species